UGUCGUUCAGAGCGAAGUGACGACACCAUCUUUUUUAUUUGGAUUAGUGCUGUUUCACUCUUACGCAUAGUAAAGCUGCUACAGUUGUCCUGCUCUUCCGUGCCUAUAUUUACACUGAAUGUCAUCAUAGAUUUUCGAUACAAUGUGUUAGAAAGAGAUGCAGCAAACCAGUCCAUGAGAUCUUGUCGUCAGGAAGCGCGGAAGGAAUUAGAUUUUUCACCACCCUUAUGAAGAGGAAUAAUGAUAGCUGUCUUUAGGUACUCUGGAAAUUUACCUUUCUCAAAAGAAUCAUUAAUUGGCGAGAUGAGGACACAAGGAUCUACAGAUCGAGCGAGUCUCGUAAAUUGCACGGCUUCGAGCCACGCUUCACACAACCAUAUUUGCGUACUUGUGUUUUGGGUUGUGUGGUCGUGCUCUGGUCGAUUGGAGUUAUAAUUUACCAAAUUUAAAUAUAAUCGUUUCUACUGAUUCAUAAUAUGUAUACUAUAAUAUAAUAUAUUGAAGUUUUUAAAUAUUGCUAAUAUUAUUAAAGUUUUUAACAUUGUAUUUUAA